rnacentral:rRNA from 1 species
GACGAACGCUGGCGGCGCGCUUAACACAUGCAAGUCGAACGGAAAGGCCUGCUUUCCCUUGUGGAUUGCGGGUACUCGAGUGGCGAACGGGUGAGUAACACGUGAGUGAUCUGCCCCCAACUUGGGUAUAAGCCUGGGAAACUGGGUCUAAUUCCCGAUAGGACUGCAGGGUGGUGCCUGUGGUGGAAAACGAUUUUCUAGUGGUUGGGGAUGAGCUCGCGGCCUAUCAGCUUGUUGGUGGGGUAAUGGCCUACCAAGGCGGCGACGGGUAGCCGGCCUGAGAGGGUGGACGGCCACAUUGGGACUGAGAUACGGCCCAGACUCCGACGGGAGGCAGCAGUGGGGAAUAUUGCACAAUGGGCGGAAGCCUGAUGCAGCGACGCAGCGUGGGGGAUGACGGCCUUCGGGUUGUAAACUCCUUUCGACCGCGAGGAAGCCACCUGGUUGGAAGGGUGGUGACGGUAGUGGUAGAAGAAGCACCGGCUAACUACGUG